GACGAACGCUGGCGGCGUGCUUAACACAUGCAAGUCGAACGGUGAAGGGACCGGUUUUUGCUGGUUCUGGAUGAGUGGCGCACGGGUGAGUAACACGUGAGUAACCUGCCCCCUUCUUCUGGAUAACCGCAUGAAAGUGUGGCUAAUACGGGAUAUUCUGCGCCUGCUGCAUGGUGGGUGUGGGAAAGAUAUUGUUUCGGUGGGGGAUGGGCUCGCGGCCUAUCAGCUUGUUGGUGGGGUGAUGGCCUACCAAGGCGGUGACGGGUAGCCGGCCUGAGAGGGUGGACGGUCACACUGGGACUGAGACACGGACAAGACUCCUACGGGAGGCAGCAGUGGGGAAUAUUGCACAGUGGGCGCAAGCCUGAUGCAGCGACGCCGCGUGAGGGAUGGAGGCCUUCGGGUUGUAAACCUCUUUCGCCAGUGAAGCAGGCCUGUCCCUUUUGUGGGUGGGUUGACGGUAGCUGGAUAAGAAGCGCCGGCUAACUACGUG
rnacentral:rRNA from 1 species